AAGAAAAAAGGAAACAAGCCACCCAAUCGCCCACGCGCACCCACGCCACCAGGCCAGGCCACGAACCCUAGCCGCCUCCGCCUCAGCAAUGGCCGGCGUCUUUGCGUCUCGUCGGCGCUGCCAGACACCUCUCCCGCGCGCUCGCCUGCACCACCGGAAGCUCGCGGCGGCGCCUAUCGCGUAGUCGUGCCCGGCGCCGGCGGCCGGCAGGUCCAGGGGCAUGCAGUGAGUGGUGAUGGGUCGCCCCGUCCGGCAGGUCCAGGGGCAUGUAGUGAGUGGUGAUGGGUCGCCCCGGCCGGCAGAAGCUCAGCUCCGCGUCCUUGCUCCACAGCAAGUUUCGGCCUCGUCCCUAGUCGCAGUAACUCCCAUCAAAUCCUGUUUUCCCCCUCUUCCGAUGCGGCGGCUCCUCUUUCCCCAGCCCCUCGUCGAUCGAUUACUCUUCGAUUUGGGCUGCUGCUGCCCCGUCUGGCGGAUCUCCCGGCGAUUCUCAUCGGACAGGUUGCUAUAACGGCCCCUCUCUGUCGCUGCGAUUGCUGUGAGGUGUGAGUCUUGACGGGGGCACCGGCAGCAGCAUCCUUUGGCCUGCCUCUGUUCACCAGAUGAGCACAUGCUCAGGAGCUAAUUUUGAUGUAUGAUCAGGCUGGUCCUGGUGCCGCGUGCACCCGGACCUGUGCCUCUCGCUUGCAUGAUCUGGUGGUCUUCGUCACGUUUCCGUCGACGUUGCUAGGUGUCUGCCGUUGCCACUUACCCCUGCACUGUUGGAUGCUCAGUUUAGUGCCCGUGGCUUCGUUCGCAUGAGCCUCCGGCCCUGUGGCUGGUAUAUGUCUUGAAGUUAGCUUGCACCGCUUCAGGUUGGCCCCCAAUAUCCAAGACAAGCACAUCCUGAAACAGGAAGAGAAAAGGUUAUGCAACUAAUGCAGGAAAAAAGUGACUGCAAUGCCCUUUCUGGGGCACAAGAGCAUGGAAGCUAGGAAGCUAUAAACUGAAGUGCACAAGUUUUUCCACGUGAAUUCAUGGUUCAUGGAGUGAAUCUGGCAGGCCCACUAGCAGGAUAUGACAGUCAUAUGUAAGAAAUGGAUGGUUCUUCCAGCUUCAUGACAUCCAGUAUCUACAUAUGUGCCCAAGGUUGGAAAAAACGCAAGCCAAGCAGGCUGUUGGCCUUUGCGACAGUUUUUAUUAUCAGAGUGUAUGUAUGGUUAUUCUGUGUGUAUUGAUAUUAAUUUAGGGCAUAUAAUUAAGUGAACUAUCAUCUACUACCAUUUGACAUAUCAAUGCAAUAUGUCAUGCUUGAUCGUGUAGGCAAUUUCUUAUUUGCCCUGCCUAGACUUUCACUCAAGGCGAGGCGUUCAGCCAUUACUUAGCACCUAAGCGUGCCUAAGUGGCUUGUAAGCACUGUUUUUUCCAACAAUGUAUGCGCCUGGCUUGUAAGCACUGUUUUUUCCAACAAUGUAUGCGCCUAUUUUUUC